AUGGUACUUAAUAUCACUGUUAUUCCUCUAAACCAUCUAGGUGGACUGAAGGUCAAGGCUGAUUCUGAUGAGUCUUCACCCUAUGCUGCUAUGCUUGCAUCUUAGGAUGUUGCCACUCGUUGCAAGGAGCUUGGUAUCACCGCACUGCACAUUAAGCUCCGUGCCACUGGAGUCAACAAGACCAAGGCACCAGGUCCUGGAGCUCAGUCUGCCCUCAGGGCUCUUGCUCAUUCUAGGAUGAAAAUUGGGCGCAUUGGUACGCCAUGCUUCUUCUCAUAUAGUGUUUGUGGAAGCACAUAUGUCCAUGUUAUUGUCUCUGCAUAUGGCUAA
rnacentral:rRNA from 1 species